UUGCGAAGGUAAGAGGCAAGUGUUUCCACUGACUGAAGCUGACAGCUUUACUAGUAAUAUUCUCCACACAUACCUAUCAACUUUAGCUGGCAAAGCGCAGGGCUAAAAUGUCAACGCCGUGUGUAACAAUGUCUUUACGUUAGCGGGGCCUCGUCGGGAGCCUUUGAGCUUAACUGCAGGACGCACGCAAUUCUUACGAUGCCAUCCCCGAUGGAGGGCUCGUCCAGAGGCGAGGGGGACCGCUUCACUGUGGUGAAACAUGAGCUGACAAACGCCAAUCUGACGGGCCAUGUGGAGAGGGUGGGAAUUGAAAACUUUGAGCUCUUAAAGGUGCUGGGCACAGGAGCCUACGGAAAAGUGUUCCUGGUCAGGAAGGUGAGCGGCCACGAUGCGGGCAAGCUGUACGCCAUGAAGGUCCUCAAGAAGGCCACCAUCGUGCAGAAGGCCAAGACGGCCGAGCACACGUGGUCGGAGCGGCAGGUCCUGGAGCACAUCCGUCAGUCUCCGUUCCUGGUCACGCUCCAUUACGCUUUCCAGACCGACACCAAGCUGCACCUCAUCCUCGAUUACGUCAACGGCGGCGAGCUCUUCACACACCUGGUACAAAGGGUGCGAUUCAAGGAGCAGGAGGUGGCGCUGUACAGCGGCGAGAUCGUGCUGGCGCUGGAACAUCUAAACAAGCUUGGGAUCGUGUACAGGGACCUGAAGCUGGAGAACAUUUUGCUGGAUUCAAACGGCCACAUUGUCCUCACAGACUUCGGCCUCAGUAAGGAGUUUGACCAGAAACAAGUGGAAAGAGCCUUUUCCAUGUGCGGGACCAUCGAGUACAUGGCGCCGGAAAUUGUGGAAGGAGAGUCUGGACAUGACAAGGCGGUGGACUGGUGGAGUCUGGGCGUCCUCAUGUAUGAGCUCCUGACCGGCGGCUCGCCCUUUACCGUCGACGGAGACGAGAACACUCCCACAGACAUCGCCAGGAGGAUCCUCAAAAAAGACCCGCCCUUCCCCAAAGACAUGUCGCCAUUGGCCAAAGACAUCAUCCAGCGACUCCUCACCAAAGACCCCAAGAAGAGAUUAGGUUCCGGUCCAAACGGGGUGGACAAUGUCAAGAAGCAUCCAUUUUACCAGAAAAUCAACUGGGAUGACUUGGCGGCCAAAAAGGUGCCCGCCCCAUUUAAGCCGGUGAUCCGGGACGAGUUGGACGUCAGCAACUUUGCGGAAGAGUUCACGGAAAUGGACCCGACCUACUCUCCUGCCGCUCUGCCUCAGAACUGUGACCGCAUCUUCCAGGGCUACUCUUUCAUGGCCCCCUCCAUCCUGUUCAAGAGGAACGUGGUGAUGGACGACCCCGUCCAGCUUUGUGGCGGCUCCGAGCGGCCGGGCUCGGCUGCAGUGGCCCGCAGCGCCAUGAUGAAGGACUCUCCUUUCUACAUCAGCUAUGAGAUGGACCUGAAGGACAGCGCUCUCGGAGAGGGAAGCUUCUCCAUCUGCAGGCGCUGCACGCACAAGAAGACCGGGCAGAAAUACGCCGUCAAAAUAGUCAGCAAACGGAUGGAGGCGCAGACUCAGCGGGAAAUAGCCGCCCUGAAGCUCUGCGACGGCCACCCCAACAUCGUCAAGUUACACGAAAUCUACCACGACCAGCUCCACACGUACUUGGUUCUGGAGCUGCUCGGCGGAGGCGAGCUGCUGGAGCGCAUCCGCAGGAAGCAACACUUCAGCGAGACGGAGGCCAGCCGGAUCAUGCGCAAGCUGGUGUCGGCGGUCAGCCACAUGCACGACGUGGGCGUGGUGCACCGGGAUCUCAAACCUGAGAACCUGCUCUUCACCGACGAAAGCGAGAACCUGGAGAUCAAAAUCAUAGACUUUGGCUUCGCCCGCCUCAAACCGCCGGACAAUCAGCUCCUGAAGACCCCCUGCUUCACGUUGCAGUACGCCGCGCCGGAGAUACUCAAGUACGACGGCUACGACGAGUCCUGCGAUCUAUGGAGUCUGGGGGUCAUACUGUACACGAUGCUCUCCGGGCGGGUCCCUUUCCAGUGUCAGGAACCGAGCCUGACCCACACCAGCGCCGAGGAAAUCAUGAAGAAAAUCAAACAGGGGGAUUUCUCCUUCGAGGGCGAGGCCUGGAGGAACGUGUCGCAGCGCGCCCAAGACCUCAUCCAAGAGCUGCUCACCGUGGACCCCGACAAGAGGAUCAAGAUGAGCGGCCUUCGCUACAACGCCUGGCUCCAGGACGACAGCCAGCUGUCUUCCAACCCGCUCAUGACCCCGGACAUCCUCGGAUCGUCGACCGUGUCCGUGCACACCUACGUCAAAGCCACCUUCAACGCUUUUAACAAAUGCAAGCGUGAGGGCUUCCGCCUGCAGACGGUGGACAAGGCGCCGCUGGCCAAGCGACGCAAGAUGAAGAAGACCAGCACCAGCACGGAGACGCGCAGCAGCUCCAGCGAGAGCACCCACUCUUCCUCAUCCUCGUCCCAGUCGCAGGAGAAGAACUUUCCCGAGAACGACGACAACGACGACAACGACGGUGGCCAACCCCCGGCUGACGCCACCACCUCUGCCGCAACCCAGGAAACUAACUCCGAGCCACCCCUGCCUGCUUUUCACUUUUCCGACGGGAAGUGAGCGAGGACUUAAGCCACGCCCUUUGCCUCUUUUUCACCUUUCCUACGUGUUUUUUUUUUUUUUUUUGCAUGGAUGUCGUCGUGCACGUCUCCGAACCGAAAAGGCAAGCAUGCAGCAGGAGCGGCAACCUCAAUAUCCACUAGCAAUAGCUCACCAGGGACUGGACCAGGAAGGACCUGCCCCCCCCUUACCCUGGUUUACCCCCACCCACCAUGUCGCUCCAUGCCUCCGAAGGUCGAAAGGGAAAGUCAAAAAAGUGUUUACCAUGUUGGAUGCUUUGUACGCCAACUGGAAACAGAAAGUAUGGUGUCCGCUUUUUUCCGGAGGGAGGAGCCCCGGCAAAACGGAUCACGAAUACAGAUGGUGGAUUAUUGACCGAGUCGUUCAAAACGUGUAAGUUUUGUACUGAACCGGGACUUUCUUUUGGGUAUUCGUCUGUGUUGACUCGUUUGCUUGUCCUGCAGAACCCGGGUACUUUUGAACCGAGAGUCACCAGACUCGUUCAGCAUGAGUCCCCCCCUUAAAGCACUUUUAAGUUGUGUAGAUUCCAGCAUCAUGGUGGCAUUUUGGACGCCGCAAGCAUCCUGAGGUCUGUGAUCAGACAUGACCAAUCGACUGCAGAUUGAUAGAAAGGACCAACCCUUAACUUGGCUCUUCUUGUGGUUUUCACAAAGGGCGGACAUUUUGUUUUUGUUUUUGGCUGAAAUGAUGCAAAAUGAAAACGCAUGGUCGUCCUCUCUUUGUCUUUUUCUCUCUUCUCUUCUUAUCUUUUCUUCUUUUUUUCUCUUCUUUUUUCUCUCUCUUCUCUUUUCCUUAUCUACGCUGGUAACAUAGUUCUUUUUUUUUCUUUUUCACUCUUUGUCUUUUUCUCUCUAUUUCUCUCUUUUCUUCUUUUCUUGUUUUUCUUUUCUUUUUCCUUUUUUUCUCUUCUUUUUUCUCUCUCUCCUCUCUUUUUUUCUCUUUUUUUUCCUUCUCUACGCCGGUAACGUAGUUCUUUUUUUUUAAUUUCUUUCUUUUUUCCUUUUCUCUCUUUGUCUUUUUCUCUCUCUUCUCUUCCUAUCUUUUCUUAUUUUUUUCUCUUUUUUCCUCUUCUUUUUUCUCUCUCUUUUUUCCUUAUCUACGCUGGUAACGUAGUUCUUUUUUUUUCUUUUUCACUCUUUGUCUUUUUCUCACUCUUCCUAACUUUUCUUCUUUUCUUGUUUUUCUUUUCUUCUUUUUUCCUUUUUUUCUCUUCUUUUUUCUCUCUCUCUCUUCUCUCUUUUUUUCUCUUCUUUUUUCUCUCUCUCUCUUCUCUCUUUUUUUCUCUCUUUUCUUCUCUUUUUUCCUUCUCUACGCCGGUAACGUAGUUCUUUUUUUUUUUUAAUUUCUUUCUUUUUUCCUUUUCUCUCUUUGUCUUUUUCUCUCUCUUCUCUUCCUAUCUUUUCUUCUUUUCUUGUUUUUCUUUUCUUCUUUUUUUCCUUUUUUUCUCUUCUUUUUUCUCUCUCUCUCUCUUCUCUCUUUUUUUCUCUCUUUUCUUCUCUUUUUUCCUUCUCUAUGCCGGUAACAUAGUUCUUUUUUUUUAAUUUCUUUCUUUUUUCUUUUUCUCUCUUUGUCUUUUUCUCUCUCUUCUCUUCCUAUCUUUUCUUAUUUUUUUCUCUUUUUUCUCUCUCUUUUUUCCUUAUCUACGCUGGUAACGUAGUUCUUUUUUUUCUUUUUCACUCUGUCUUUUUCUCACUCUUCCUAUCUUUUCUUCUUUUCUUGUUUUUCUUUUCUUCUUUUUUCUUUUUUUCCUUUUUUUCUCUUCUUUUUUCUCUCUCUCUUCUCUUUUUUUCUCUCUUCUUUUUUCCUUCUCUACGCCGGUAACGUAGUUCUUUUUUUAAUUUCUUUUUUUAUUUCUUUUUCUCUCUUCUCUUCCUAUCUUUUCUUCUUUUCUUGUUUUUCUUUUUUCCUUUUUAUCUUCUUUUUUCUCACUCUUCUCUCUUUUUUCUCUCUUUUCUUUCUUUUCUUCUCUUUUUUCCUUCUCUAUGCCGGUAAUGUAGUUCUUUUUUUUAUUUCUUUUUUUUCUUUUUCACUCUUUGUCUUUUUCUCUCUCUUCUCUUCCUAUCUUUACUUGUUUUUCUUUUCUUGUUUUUCCUUUUUUUACUCUUUUUCUCUCUCUCUCUCCUCUCUUUUUUUCUCUCUUUUCUUUCUGUUCUUCUCUUUUUUCCUUCUCUAUGCCGGUAACGUAGUUCUUUUUUUAUUUCUUUUUUUUCUUUUUCACUCUUUGUCUUUUUCUCUCUCUUCUCUACCUAUCUCUUCUUGGUUUUUUUUCUUCUUUUUUCUCUCUCUCUUCUCUCUUUUCUUUCUUUUCUUCUCUUUUUUCCUUCUCUACACCGGUAAUGUAGUUAUUUUUUAUUUCUUUUUUUUUCUUUUUCUCUCUCUUCUCUUCCUAUCUUUUCUUCUUUUUCUUUUCUUCUUUUUUUAUACAAAAUGAAGUGUGUGCAUGCGAGGUCGUCCUGGUCUUGAGUGGAUGUCCCGUGUGGUGCGUUCAGGAGCACCGUGUUUUCCCUCGUCGUCUUCCUUUCAGGAUGCACUCUUGGCGGUAAAAACCAAAAAGGUGGAAUAACCAGGAAGUCGCCGUAACGUUCCUUCCGCUCCUUUUCAUGCGUUUUGUUGACGUGUCGGACGUGGGAUUUCAUCGCCUUUUCAACUAUGCAUCUCUCUCUCUCUCUCUCUCUCUCUUUCUCUCUCUCUCUCUUCGUGAUGCUUUUGUCUCGUUCAAACAAAAACCGUGACCGCGUUUCCCUCAACUUGAAAGCGGCGCCACCGCCACCGCCGCCGCCGCCGCAGGAAGUAGGCCUGACGAAGCACUACAAAGCUAUCGUCUCACGUAGACUUCUCAUGAGUUCUUCAUUCAGCCCGCCUCCCCCCCCCCCCUUUUUCUUUGGUGUAUUAAUAGCUCAAGUGGGGCAAAGGGAUGAGUGUCCUACAUUCAGCCCCUCCCCCUCCUCCUCCUCUUCCUCGUCUUCCUCCUCCGGGAGCCAAGCUCUAUUAGCUGAUGUGCCGCACUUGUGUUUGUUCCAAAAGAAAACACCCUCCUACUCCUCUUCACCUCUCUCCGCGCCCGCUUCCAAACUAGGAUACACUGGCAGCCAUCUUGGAGUGUGGUGGUUCUGUCCGUGGUGCUGAACGCCUCUGUUCCUCCAUCAUAUUUCAGCGUUUACUCCGCUACAGAAACAUUCGUUUUUUUUUUCUCAUGAGGGUCGUAGGGACGAGAGGCGGGGUCCACAUAUUGGACUGGUGGCCAGCCAGCCAAUCACAGGGCACAUAUAGACAAACAACCAUUCACACUCACAUUCAUACCUAUGGACAAUUUGGAGUCGCUAAUUAACCUAACGUUUUUUGUUUUUUUGUUUUUUUUUACUUUUAAGGGUCAGUGGCGUCGUUAGACCUAUUUAAAAAUAUUCUGAAGCCCCCCUAAAUAAUUUGAUAUUUUUUAUUGAUUUUUUUUUCAUUGAUUUUUUUUAUUAAAAAUAAAAAUGUCGGACAAAUUUUAUAUAAUAGGGCAAAAGAAGGCUAAUACUAGCCUACUACUACUAGUAGUAGUACUCAUUUUCUACCACUUAUCCUCACGAGGGUCGCGGGGGGGGUGCUGGAGCCUAUCCCAGCUGUCUUCAGGCGAGAGGCGGGGUCCACAUAUUGGACUGGUGGCCAGCCAAUCACAGGGCACAUAUAGACAAACAACCAUUCACACUCACAUUCAUACCUAUGGACAAUUUGGAGUCGCUAAUUAACCUAACGUUUUUUGUUUUUUUGUUUUUUUUUACUUUUAAGGGUCAGUGGCGUCGUUAGACCUAUUUAAAAAUAUUCUGAAGCCCCCCUAAAUAAUUUGAUAUUUUUUAUUGAUUUUUUUUUCAUUGAUUUUUUUUAUUAAAAAUAAAAAUGUCUGACAAAUUUUAUAUAAUAGGGCAAAAGAAGGCUAAUACUAGCCUACUACUACUAGUAGUAGUACUCAUUUUCUACCACUUAUCCUCACGAGGGUCGCGGGGGGGGUGCUGGAGCCUAUCCCAGCUGUCUUCAGGCGAGAGGCGGGGUCCACAUAUUGGACUGGUGGCCAGCCAAUCACAGGGCACAUAUAGACAAACAACCAUUCACACUCACAUUCAUACCUAUGGACAAUUUGGAGUCGCUAAUUAACCUAACGUUUUUUGUUUUUUUGUUUUUUUUUACUUUUAAGGGUCAGUGGCGUCGUUAGACCUAUUUAAAAAUAUUCUGAAGCCCCCCUAAAUAAUUUGAUAUUUUUUAUUGAUUUUUUUUUCAUUGAUUUUUUUUAUUAAAAAUAAAAAUGUCUGACAAAUUUUAUAUAAUAGGGCAAAAGAAGGCUAAUACUAGCCUACUACUACUAGUAGUAGUACUCAUUUUCUACCACUUAUCCUCACGAGGGUCGCGGGGGGGGUGCUGGAGCCUAUCCCAGCUGUCUUCAGGCGAGAGGCGGGGUCCACAUAUUGGACUGGUGGCCAGCCAAUCACAGGGCACAUAUAGACAAACAACCAUUCACACUCACAUUCAUACCUAUGGACAAUUUGGAGUCGCUAAUUAACCUAACGUUUUUUGUUUUUUUGUUUUUUUUUACUUUUAAGGGUCAGUGGCGUCGUUAGACCUAUUUAAAAAUAUUCUGAAGCCCCCCUAAAUAAUUUGAUAUUUUUUAUUGAUUUUUUUUUCAUUGAUUUUUUUUAUUAAAAAUAAAAAUGUCUGACAAAUUUUAUAUAAUAGGGCAAAAGAAGGCUAAUACUAGCCUACUACUACUAGUAGUAGUACUCAUUUUCUACCACUUAUCCUCACGAGGGUCGCGGGGGGGGUGCUGGAGCCUAUCCCAGCUGUCUUCAGGCGAGAGGCGGGGUCCACAUAUUGGACUGGUGGCCAGCCAAUCACAGGGCACAUAUAGACAAACAACCAUUCACACUCACAUUCAUACCUAUGGACAAUUUAGAGUCGCUAAUUAACCUAACGUUUUUUUUUUUUAACUUUUAAGGACCAGUGGCGUCGUUAGACCUAUUUAAAAAUAUUCUGCAGCCCCCUCUAAAUAAUUUGAUAUUUUUUAUUGAUUUUUUUUCAUUGAUUUUUUUUAUUAAAAAUAAAAAUGUCUGACAAAUUUGAUAUAAUAGGGCAAAAGCAGGCUAAUACUAGCCUACUGCUACUAGUAGUAGUACUAAUAUUCUACCACUUAUCCUCACGAGGGUCGCGGGGGGGGGGGGGUGCUGGAGCCUAUCCCAGCUGUCUUCAGGCGAGAGGCGGGGUCCACAUAUUGGACUGGUGGCCAGCCAAUCACAGGGCACAUAUAGACAAACAACCAUUCACACUCACAUUCAUACCUAUGGACAAUUUGGAGUCGCUAAUUAACCUAACGUUUUUUUUUUUUUUUUACUUUUAAGGGCCAGUAGCGUCGUUAGACCUAUUUAAAAAUAUUCUGAAGCCCCCCCUAAAUAAUUUGAUUUUUUUUCUUGAUUUUUUUUUCAUUUAUUUUUUUUAUUAAAAAUAAAAAUGUCUGACAAAUUUGAUAUAAUAGGGCAAAAGAAGGCUAAUACUAGCCUACUACUACUAGUAGUAGUACUCAUUUUCUACCACUUAUCCUCACGGGGGUCGCAGGGGGGGGGGUGCUGGAGCCUAUCCCAGCUGUCUUCAGGCGAGAGGCGGGGUAAACAUUCUGGACUGGUGGCCAGCCAAUCACAGGGCACAUAUAGACAAACAACCAUUCACACUCACAUUCAUACCUAUGGACAAUUUGGAGUCGCUAAUUAGCCUAGCAUGUUUUUUUUUGGAAUGUGGGAGGAAACCGGAGUACCCGGAGAAAACCCACGCAUGCACGGGGAGAACAUGCAAACUCCACACAGCGAUAACCGAGGGUGGGGAAAGACAAAAUAAGAAGCCAAAAAGUUACCACUUCCACACAAAACAGGAGAACUCUCUAUGCUGGUAACGUAGUUUUUUUUUUUCCGUUUUUUUUUUAUUUAAAUCUUUUAAAAUAAUUUAAAACAAAAAAAUGUAUUUGCUUUUUCUCUCUCUUCUCUUCCUAUCUUUUCUUUUCUUGCUUUUCUUUUCUUCUCUUUUUUCCUUUUUGUCUCUUCUUUUUUCUCUCUCUCCUCUCUUUUUUCUAUCUUUUCUUUCUUCUCUUCUCUUUUUUCCUUCUCUAUGCGGGUAACGUUCUUUUUUAUUAUUAUUUUUUUAAUUAAUUUUUUUUCAUUUUCUUUUUCUCUGUCUUUUUUUUUUUUUUCUCUUCUCUUCCUCUCUUUUCUUCUUUUUUUCUCCUCUUUUUUCUCUCUCUCCUCUCUUUUUUCCUUCUCUACGCCGGUAACAUAGUUCUUUUUUUUUAUUAAUUAAAAACGAUUUUUUUUCUUUUUCUCUGUGUCUUUUUCUCCAUUCUCUUCCUAUCUUUUCUUCUUUUCUUGUUUUUCUUUUCCUUUUUUCCUUUUUGUCUCUUCUUUUUUCUCUCUCUCUUCUCUCUUUUUUUCUAUCCUUUCUUUUCUUCUUUUUUUUCCUUCUCUACGCCGGUAAUGUAGUUCUUUUUUUUUAAUUAAACAUUUUUUUAAUUAUUUUUUUUCUUUUUCUCUCUCUUCUCUUCCUAUCUUUUUUUCUUGUUUUUCUUUUCUUCUUUUUUUCUCUUUUUUUCCUUUUUGUCUCUUUUUUCUCUCUCUCUCUUCUCUCUUUUUCUAUCUUUUCUUCUCUUUUUUCCUUCUUGUAAUGUAGUUCUUCAGUAUAAUAAUAAUAAUAAUAAUAAUAAUGUUGCUGUAGUUUGGCUAAUAUGCAGGUCACAUGAUGAAAACGGAACAUUGUUGGUGCUUUUUGGAGGGUUUUUUUCACAAGGCUAAAUUUAUAGACAGAAUAGGUGCGUCCCAUUACUUGCAUUCUUAGCUGCCUCUUUUUUUUUUAUCCAUUUUUAAAUCUUUGGAAGGCACAGAAAAGCCCUAAAAAGUACACUUUUCCUUUUAAAAAGUAGAGACGUACGAUGUUGGCGCGGCGUCCGAUAUUUUUUAAAUUUUUUUUUUUUUUAAAAAGUAACACAAAAAAAAGUGAAUUGUUUUUUGUACAUAUUCCGAGCGAUUCCCCACGUGUGCGGCUGCUUGAUUUUCACGGCUUGUGUUGAUUCCACACGUCAGAAAGUACUGUAGCAGUAAAUCCCUUCGCCACUUCCUUCUACAAGCUUUAAAAAAAAACGGCAACACUUUGCACUUGAACCCGUUUUUACCAUGCGACUCAUCUGUCAUUCAUCCCCCCACUGUGAUUGGUUGAGGCCUUUGCUCAUGACAUGAUUUUAGUCUACUGUGUAACUACAUUAUACCAACUAAAGGAUUCCAAUUCACCCCUUUGAUAGUAUAUGUAUUAACGUUGAAAGGUCAUUCAGUGAACGGCCGCUAGAUGGCAGCAUUGUGUCAAUGUGUAAAGAUCCUUUUUUUUUACAUUGAAGUGAGAAAACUACUGUAUUUCUAUGUAUUUGACUGACAGUUCACUGUCUGCAGUCCACCCCCCCAACCCCCCCAUGACCAUUGAGUAACGUGGAAAUAUUUAUUUAACAUUUUUAAGGUCCUUGGAAGUAUUUGUUUGUCAUGUUCCAAUAAAAAAAGUUC